GUCUGUAACGGAGCUCCCAGGGGUGUAUGCGGAUAAAGGGAAUUUCACAGAAGCACAGGAUGCGUCAGGUUGAAAGUGACCACAGUGACUCGUCUGGUCCCACCUCCCUGCUCCAGCAGGGUCAUCCCAGAGCACAUGGCACAGGACUGUGUCCAGAGGGUUCCGGAAUAUCUCCACUAAGGGAGACUCCACACCUUCUCUGGACUAUUUGUUCAGUGCUCAGUCACUGCACAGCAAAGAAGUUCUUCCUCAUGUCCAGGUGGAACUUCCUGGGCAUCAGUUCCUGCCCCUCGUCCUGUUGCUGGGUACCACCGAGCAGAGCCUGGUCCAUCUUCUGACACCUCCCUUUAGAUAUUUAUACACAUUAAUGAGGUCCCCUCUCAGUGUCACCUCUCGAGGCUGAGCAGCCCCAGCUCCCUCAGCCUUUCCUCGUCACAGACAUGCUCCAGUCCCUUCAUCUCCGUAGCCUCCACUGGAUCUGCUGCAGGAGCUCCACAUCCCCGCUGUCCUGAGGAGCCCAGAACUGGACACAGCACUCCAGAUGUGCCUCACAGCGCUGAGCAGAGGGCAGGAUCACCUCCCUGACCUGCUGGCAAUGCUCAUCCUAAUGCACUCCAGGAUUCUGUUGCCCUCUUUGGCCCCCAGGACACACUGCUGGCUCAGGGGCAGCUAGUUGUCCACCAGGACCUUCUCUUCAUUCCACCCCCACAGUAACACAUCUUCAGAUGGAUUUUAGGGAACAACUCGAGUGCUCUGGAGGAACGUUGGGGCUCUGUUAUGAGAGAAUUGCCCUAAGAUCCAUCCUGAUGGAGGCCAAGACCAGGGCACUGUCCCUCUCCUUCACUGAGGCUCGAUCUGGGUCACCUCACCCAGCAGGAAUCAUUCCCCAAAUCCCCAUCACUGACACCUUCCUUAGGUGGUUGACAUUCCACAAGUCAAUAAAGGAGUUGCCUGCACUAAAAGGCAGCUACAAAGUGCUGUGUGAAGAGAGCAGGAAAUAUCCAGGAUAUUCCCACUGUCCAUGGAGGUAACUCAUGAAGAUGGAGAAGGAGACUUACCUGGUUGGAAUCAACAUCAGCACCGGAACAGACCAAGCCAAAGGUGUGUUCUUCUUUCUCUGUUUGUAUUUUCUGUGCAUGACAUAAAUUGCAACUGGGGAGCAAAUACUUAAGUUGAAGAACUUCAUCUGCAGAGUGAAACUCCUUCAUCUGUCUGUAGAUGGGCAAAAUAUAACUUAAAUUGGGCUUCACCUGCCACAGACACUUCUGUGGUGUGGGAACAGCUUUGGGCUGAAUUCCACCUCCUGUGGUUCACAGAGCUGAACUAAUAAUGUCCUUGCUAGAACUUCCCUGAUUUAUGCCUGAAUUUUAGAGAGAACAACUUUAUGAGUUCUACAGGACAAAAAGAAUCCACAAAACAUCUUGUUUGAUGUUCCACUCAAACUCUUAUUAAAACUCAGAGGUGAACAGUUUCUAUGCUGAAAGCAAUUUUCCCUUCAUGCUUAAACAUUCUGCAUCCUGGCUGUGUUUGUUGUUCUUUGUCUAGCAGCAAGAUUAAAAUCAUGCAUUUUCUUCUGAAGGCAAACCUGACAAAACAGCCACUUUGUUCACUAUCCACCAUCCAGGAUGAUUUUGGACAUAAAAUUAGAAAUUCUAGCAAGCUGGGUCUAGAGAUUGACACACAGGGCAUCAGAUGCAGAGCUCUGAGAGCACAAAGCAGAGCUCAAUAGAUUUCUGCAGCUGCCUGGUCAGCAAAAAGCCUCCACCUAAUCCUAUACAAACACAGAAUGGCAAAUCCAGAGCCACGGAGUUUUCAGGAGCAGAUAAGAAAAGAAAACCCUGAAAUUCUUGGCUUUGGUGAGUCUGUGCAGUGGCUGACCACUUCCAGAAAUGUUCGCUUCCUAAAUAAUGACCAACAAGCUAAAAAAAAGGGCUUUAAAACUUACAUCGAUAUUGUCAUUUAUAUGUAAAGUUUAGAUCU